rnacentral:tRNA from 3 species
GCCCGGGUGGCGAAACUGGUAGACGCAAGGGACUUAAAAUCCCUCGGCCUUACGGCUGUGCCGGUUCGACUCCGGCCCCGGGCACCA